GGGAAUCUACCGAGCCCUGCGGAAUAGCUCCGGGAAACUGGAAUUAAUACCGCAUACGCCCUACGGGGGAAAGAUUUAUCGGGGUUUGAUGAGCCCGCGUUGGAUUAGCUAGUUGGUGGGGUAAAGGCCUACCAAGGCGACGAUCCAUAGCUGGUCUGAGAGGAUGAUCAGCCACAUUGGGACUGAGACACGGCCCAAACUCCUACGGGAGGCAGCAGUGGGAAUAUUGGACAAUGGGCGCAAGCCUGAUCCAGCCAUGCCGCGUGAGUGAUGAAGGCCCUAGGGUUGUAAAGCUCUUUCAACGGUGAAGAUAAUGACGGUAACCGUAGAAGAAGCCCCGGCUAACUUCGUGCCAGCAGCCGCGGUAAUACGAAGGGGGCUAGCGUUGUUCGGAAUUACUGGGCGUAAAGCGCACGUAGGCGGAUAUUUAAGUCAGGGGUGAAAUCCCGGGGCUCAACCUCGGAACUGCCUUUGAUACUGGGUAUCUUGAGUAUGGAAGAGGUAAGUGGAAUUGCGAGU
rnacentral:rRNA from 1 species